GUCGACGGAAGGCCUCAGCUUGCUGGGGUACUCGAGUGGCGAACGGGUGAGUAACACGUGGGUGAUCUGCCUUGCACUCUGGGAUAAGCUUGGGAAACUGGGUCUAAUACCGGAUAUGAACUGCCUUUAGUGUGGUGGUUGGAAAGUUUUUUCGGUGCAAGAUGAGCUCGCGGCCUAUCAGCUUGUUGGUGGGGUAAUGGCCUACCAAGGCGUCGACGGGUAGCCGGCCUGAGAGGGUGUACGGCCACAUUGGGACUGAGAUACGGCCCAGACUCCUACGGGAGGCAGCAGUGGGGAAUAUUGCACAAUGGGCGGAAGCCUGAUGCAGCGACGCCGCGUGGGGGAUGACGGCCUUCGGGUUGUAAACUCCUUUCGACAGGGACGAAGCUUUUUGUGACGGUACCUGUAUAAGAAGCACCGGCUAACUACGUGCCAGCAGCCGCGGUAAUACGUAGGGUGCGAGCGUUGUCCGGAAUUACUGGGCGUAAAGAGCUCGUAGGUGGUUUGUCGCGUCGUCUGUGAAAUUCCGGGGCUUAACUUCGGGCGUGCAGGCGAUACGGGCAUAACUUGAGUGCUGUAGGGGAGACUGGAAUUCCUGGUGUAGCGGUGAAAUGCGCAGAUAUCAGGAGGAACACCGAUGGCGAAGGCAGGUCUCUGGGCAGUUACUGACGCUGAGGAGCGAAAGCAUGGGUAGCAAACAGGAUUAGAUACCCUGGUAGUCCAUGCCGUAAACGGUGGGCGCUAGGUGUAGGGGGCUUCCACGUCUUCUGUGCCGUAGCUAACGCAUUAAGCGCCCCGCCUGGGGAGUACGGCCGCAAGGCUAAAACUCAAAGGA
rnacentral:rRNA from 1 species